CGCGAGCAGCGUGCAGCGUACCAGGCUUUAAUGUUGUUCUAUGUGAAGUAAUUUUUAAAAAUGCCAAAAUUUCUUUUGUACAUUGUUUUAUAUAAAAUUUUAAAUAAAAGACAUUUGUUUUUUAUACACAAUUAUAGUAUAUUGGUAUGUGUCUGUUUUAUUUUGCUUCAAAUUUUAUUACUUAAUAUUAUACAUUCUAACUAACAAUGACAUUAAGGUAAAUAAUAGGUGUGUUUUUUAUUACCACCGGUCUUAACUGGACAAAAAAACGCAGUCUGGGCUAAGCAAUUUACAUGUUAAAUACAACAACACUUUAGCCCCUUGGGCUUAGUUGUUUAGCCCGGAGAAUUCUUUGGGCUUAACUUUUUGAAGAGUUUUAAAUCUGUGCUACCAAACCAUAAAUUGUUUAGAAUUUGUUUAGAAACGUCAAAACUGACGUUUGAAAUGACAAAAUAAAAUAAAAAAAAAAAACAACUAAAAAAAGAAUUACAUUUUUUUAAACUGAAAACAAAAUCUUCAAAAACUAAUUACCUGAAGUUAAUCGCACAAUUUCAUCUAUGUAUUCCCUUAAACUUAUACGUCUUUGUUAAUAUUCAAUUUCAAUCAGGUAUGCCUUGCCUAUUACAUCAAUCUUACAAUCUUUUUUUAAAUUCAUCAUACAUACAUUAUAUCUGACGACGAAAAUAAUUUGCUGAAGAUGAGCACAUUGAACCGCCCUAUUCAGUCCAGCUACACUUGGUCUACAUCGUGUCGGUACCAAUCGAAGAUGAACAUGUGGGUUGCGAUGAAAAUCAUAAAACACUGUUUGCUAGAAAAACAAUUUGUUUUUAUGACAAAGAAACAUUUCCAUUGCUCUUUGGGGGUGGAUUUGUAUUUUUUAUGGAAAUCCAAAUUAAAACUAAAAAACGAGCCGCUAAUCACACAACGCUUGCAGCAGCAUCUGAAAUGACUCCACAAUCAAAGUCCAGUCUCAGCAACAGUAAUUAUGUGAAGCAGCGCAACAACAACAGCAUAAGCAAUUGCUGGGCAAUUGCCAAGACACCAGAUUAUGUAGCUGUGUACAGCGCUCAAUGGACUUAGUAAGCCAGGAAGCAUAUCCAGGUUAUGGUUAUCCCCGCAGUCCACAACCAGGGAUACCUAUUAGUCUCCAAGCUGGCGCAGACGGUCCUUCCAAGUUCCAAUCCUCAGCAGCAUAAACCCAACAGCAAGCCAAAUGAUAAGAAAUUAAAAGCGCGCGGAAAGUUCUCAGACAUGAAUCCAAAAGCUCGAUGAGUUGAAGGGUGCCUAAAAAAUGCACCCGAUUUCACCCUGCUACGCCAAUCCUGCCAGGAUGCGGACGGGAAGACCUCUGGUUUUCGAAGUUACUCAGAGUCAUCUUUUACUACAAAAGUGAAUUUUUCUUUAGCUCGAUGAGUUGAGCGUUUCUGCAGCCGCCGCCCGGUCUAUUACUUCUUUGUAAAAAAAAACUAAAAGUUAAAAUUUCCUACUGCUGUGAUGAUCUAUGCCUUUCCUGAGAUAAUGUUUGAGGAAAAUUGCUCUCUUGUAAGAAACACAAAUGGACUUUAUCACUGCAAUCUCAGGUUAAUGUCAAUUUGGAAGUAAUUGUAUUGCAGUACCUGCAUUGAAGUAGAGAACGGAGAGCUGUAGCAACUGGAAUAGAACCUUGCAGGUGUCGUCAUCAAAAUAAGCUAAAAUUCCACAAAGGUGAUUUUGUCCAUCAUGCAAUCAAGUCUGCGACAAGUUGCCAAAAUUUUAUAUUCAGCUUGUUGUCAUGCUGCUCUUUUCCAUUCAAAAUGACUCUAGUAAUAUUUUUGAAUACAAGUUUGAUAAUUAUAAGAUCAAACAAUUACCACAUCCAAAAUGUGAAAAGUACCUAAUGGCUGCCUGUAUUGCCGAAUGGCCAUGUUGGAAUUCCAAACCAACUUCAUGCAAUCAUAAUUCUAUCAUUUGUCACAAGGUACAUAUACCUAAUAACAAAGAAAACUGCAAACCAUAUAAUGAAGGAUACGAGCAAUUUUAGAAGAGAAAACGAAAACCAAGAGAACGCAAAGUAAUCCCACAAGAAAUCAAAGAAAACAACAAUCAAUUUAAGUUGCUCUGAU